GGCUCCGGCGCUACGCGGCCGCGGGCUGCGCGCAGAUUGGCCGCGGCCCUGAGACCCGGCGCCGAGUCGCCGGCGGGCCGUUUGUGGCUCGCCCCCGCCGGCUCGGCCGCGCACGGGGAGACCGGAGACAGGCUGCAGCCGGCGGGGACCCUAGUAGCAGCGAGGAGGAGGGGAAGAGGAAAAGAGAGGAGGCGGCGGCGGGGAGGGGAAGUGAGGCCUGGCCCGGAGGGGGUCGGAGGAGGCUGCGGACCCGCAACGAGGCGAGCGACUAAAAGCGCGCGCGCGAGCGCGGAAGGCUGCGCUGCAACUUUGCCCCCGCCCCGCGGUACAUAGUGAUUACCCAGGAAUAAGGAUUCUCCCUUUUCUGCCUGUAAAGAGCAAAUAGAUCUACAGAAUGCAAGCUACAGGACUCACACUUCCACGGCCUUGAAGAAUCUGCUUGAAGACCCACCUGCGGCCGUAGAGUCUCCAGAUGGCCGUUUUCUGUGCGAUGCUGAUAUCAAUAAGCUCUGACA